rnacentral:pre_miRNA from 1 species
GAUCUACUCCCUCCGGCCGGAAAUACUUGUCGGAGAAAUGGAUGUAUCUAGAUGUAUUUUAGUUCUAGAUACAUCCAUUUUUAUUCAUUUCUCCAACAAGUAUUUCCGGACGGAGGGAGUACAUA